rnacentral:rRNA from 1 species
UACGUAGGCAGCAAGCGUUGUUCGGAGUUACUGGGCGUAAAGGGUGCGUAGGCGGCUUUUUAAGUUUGGUGUGAAAUCUCCCGGCUCAACUGGGAGUGUGCGCCGAAUACUGAGAGGCUAGAGUGUGGGAGAGGAAAGUGGAAUUCCUGGUGUAGCGGUGAAAUGCGUAGAUAUCAGGAGGAACACCGGUGGUGUAAACGGCUUUCUGGACCAUAACUGACGCUGAGGCACGAAAGCGUGGGUAGCAAACAGG